UCCCUGGUGGCUCAGAGGGUAAAGCGUCUGCCUGCAAUGCAGGAGACCCAGGUUCAAUCCCUGGGUCGGGAA
rfam:Ovis aries breed Texel chromosome 2, whole genome shotgun sequence.